rnacentral:rRNA from 1 species
GGAGGAAAGUAGGGGAUCGAAAGACCUUGCGCUUUGGGAGCGGCCGAUGUCUGAUUAGCUAGUUGGUGGGGUAAAGGCCUCCCAAGGCGACGAUCAGUAGUUGGUCUGAGAGGACGGCCAACCACACUGGGAGUGAGACACGGCCCAGACUCCUACGGGAGGCCGCAGUGGGGAAUUUUGGACAAUGGGCGAAAGCCUGAUCCACCCAUUCCGCGUGAGUGAAGAAGGCCUUCGGGUUGUAAAGCUCUUUUAGUCGGAAAGAAAGAGUUGCAAUGAAUAAUUGUGAUUUAUGACGGUACCGACAGAAAAAGCACCGGCUAAAUACGUGCCAGCAGCCGCGGUAAUACGUAGGGUGCGAGCGUUAAUCGGAAUUACUGGGCGUAAAGGGUGCGCAGGCGGUUUUGUAAGUCAGAUGUGAAAUCCCCGGGCUUAACCCGGGAAUUGCGUUUGAAACUACAAGGCUAG